rnacentral:rRNA from 1 species
AUUGAACGCUAGCGGCAUGCCUUACACAUGCAAGUCAAACGGUAACAGGUCUUCGGAUGCUGACGAGUGGCGAACGGGUGAGUAAUACAUCGGAACGUGCCUAGUAGUGGGGGAUAACUACUCGAAAGAGUGGCUAAUACCGCAUGAGAUCUACGGAUGAAAGCAGGGGAUCGCAAGACCUUGUGCUACUAGAGCGGCCGAUGGCAGAUUAGGUAGUUGGUGGGAUAAAAGCUUACCAAGCCGACGAUCUGUAGCUGGUCUGAGAGGACGAUCAGCCAACCUGGGACUGAGACACGGCCCAGACUCCUGCGGGAGGCAGCAGUGGGGAAUUUUGGACAAUGGGCGCAAGCCUGAUCCAGCAAUGCCGCGUGCAGGAUGAAGGCCUUCGGGUUGUAAACUGCUUUUGUACGGAACGAAAAGCCCUGGGUUAAUACCCUGGGGUCAUGACGGUACCGUAAGAAUAAGCACCGGCUAACUACGUGCCAGCCGCCGCAGUAA